rnacentral:other from 1 species
UAGUUUCUGGGGUGUGCGACACUCCUAUCAUUUUGAACCUACAUUUACUUUUAUGGGAUUCCUACAUCGCGUAGAAAUAUGUCAGGCCUCCAUUAAGCAGUGGAAGACAGACGGCUGCGCUGCGGUUACCCACCUAGCUUUGCUAGGAGUCAAAAUAUAGGAAACGGCACUCUGGAUAUGAA